rnacentral:rRNA from 1 species
GACGAACGCUGGCGGCGUGCUUAACACAUGCAAGUCGAACGGUAAGGCCUUCGGGUACACGAGUGGCGAACGGGUGAGUAACACGUGGGUGAUCUGCCCUGCACUUUGGGAUAAGCCUGGGAAACUGGGUCUAAUACCGGAUAGGACCAUGGACUUCACGGUUUGUGGUGGAAAGCUUUUGCGGUGUGGGAUGGGCCCGCGGGCUAUCAGCUUGUUGGUGGGGUAAGGGCCUACCAAGGCGACGACGGGUAGCCGGCCUGAGAGGGUGUCCGGCCACACUGGGACUGAGAUACGGCCCAGACUCCUACGGGAGUCAGCAGUGGGGAAUAUUGCACAAUGGGCGCAAGCCUGAUGCAGCGACGCCGCGUGGGGGAUGACGGCCUUCGGGUUGUAAACCUCUUUCAGUAGGGAAUGGCUAGAGUGUGACGGUACCUUAUGAGAAAGCCACGGCUAACUACGUGCCAGCAGCCGCGGUAACAC